rnacentral:rRNA from 1 species
UAUUAUUAUAAUUUAAAAAUUAAUAUAUUAAGGUAGUAGUAGUUAUAGUCUUGAAACCUAAAAAAUUUGGCGGUAUUUUAGUCUAUUCAGAGGAACCUGUUCUAUAAUCGAUAAUCCACGAUGGACCUAACUUAAAUUUGUAUUCAGUUUAUAUAUCGUUGUUAUAAAAUAUUUUAUAAGAAUAAUAAUAUUUUUAAUUUUUUAUAAAAAAAUAUAUCAGAUCAAGGUGUAGCUUAUAUUUAAGAAGAAAUGGGUUACAAUAAAGUUAUUUAUAUGAAUAUAAAUUUGAAAUGUUUAUUGAAGGUGGAUUUGAUAGUAAAUUUAUAUAGAUAAAUAAAUUGAUUUUAGCUCUAAAAUAUGUA